AGAACACAGGAAACUUUCGCAGCAAUGUGGCCAAGGGGACGAUAUCGCACGAUACACAAACAGGAAGAAACGACAGUGAGAAAAACUAAGCAUUUCCGGCAAAGGCCUUCACAAUAAAACGUUAGCUGUGUGUCCAGCACAGUGUAAGGAGCAUGGAGAGGAUUCCAGGAGAUGGGAAGUUACUCUAGGAGAGCUGGACAGGGCCGUAGCAGGUUCUUAACCCACCAGUAGGACCAGUGUCUGCUCCUUUGUGCAAGAAACAACACAGGAGCACCGGAGUUACAAAGUGACCUCCAGCAGGCUGGUUUAAAUAUAUCUAACCAAACAAUCAGAAACAAACUUCACAAGGGUGGCCUGAGGGCCUGGUGUCAUUUAGUGAGCUGCCCUGUACUGUUGAGCCCGAAUGGCAUUUGUCAUGAAAUACCAGAAUUGGCAAGUACACCACUGGCACCUUGUGAUUUUCACAGAUGAGAACAGGUUCACCCCGAGUGCAUGUGACAGACAUAAAAAGGGCUCGGAAAAGCCGUGGAAAUCAUUAUGCUCCCUGUAACAUUGUUUAACAGGACUGGUUUGGUGGUAAGUCUGGGGCGGUCUGGGGUGGUAUAUCCAGGGACAGACCUUUACAGGCUAGGCAACAGAACCCUGACUGCCAUUAGUAUGGGGAUGAAAUCCCAUUGUGAGACCCUAUGCAGGUGGCAUAGGUCGUGGGUUCCCCCUGGUGCACGACAAUGUCCAGGCUCAUGUGGUGAGACUAUCCACGCAGUUCUUGGAGGAUGAAGAAUUUGAUAUCACUGACUGGCCCCCAAACUCAUCUGAACAUGUUUUAGGCCAUCCAAUGCUACCUCAAACUGUCCAGGAGCUCAGUGAUGCCCUGAUCCAAAUCUGGGAGGAGAUCCCUCAGGGCACGAUCAGUUGUCUCAUCAGGAACAUGCUACAGUGUUGUCAGGCAUAAAUACAAAGACAUGAUACAAUGGUACUGACCAUUUUGAGUGGCUCUAUGAAAUUUCAGCAAAAUGGACUAUCAUGCAAUUUUUUUUUACUUUUAUUUUUUGGAUGUCUCUGAAUUUUGCCCUCUGUAAAUUGAUCAUUUUAAUUUCCAUAAAAAAAAAAAAAUGUCUCACCGUUUCAUUUUUAACAGUCCUUAUCACCAAAGAGAUCCAGCAUGAUUGAGUUUGGAUGUGUUUAAAUUUUUUUGAGCAGUUUAUUAAUUGUUUAUACAAUACCGUUCAUUAGCCAAUCAAAGACAAAACCCACAGUGAAUAUUGAUCAAUUUGACAGCAUUAUUACUAUUGCACUAUAUAUUUGAAGACAGAGUUCAAUGUGAAACACGGUAUGAAGGAGCAAUAUUAUUUAAAUUUAAACUUAUAAUUUACACAUGUCAAUACAUACAACAAUACAACCAAAAAACAGGAUUUUGGUGUAAAACUCCAGCCAAAGCUGAUCCCUGAAGUUACAAUAUAAAAAAUUUUAAAAAGAAAAAAAAAAGCAAUAUUAUAAUAUUUCCUUAAAAACUGUGACAGGCUCACUGAAUGGUGAGGCUGUUUAAGUGCUAAACCAAGGUUUCAGGUAAGAAAACAAAAUAAUUCAUCAAUAAGCAGGAACUACUGACAAUUUGAUAGUUCAUACAGUUCAGGUAUACCUAAAUUAA